UAUGCUUUCUGGUGGACACUAAUAUGGAACACAAAGAUCUUCUCACAUUGCAGCUGCUCCCAUAUAUCCAUUGAUAUAUGCCUCUAACUCCAGACCUUUUUGUCCUUAAUCUUCUAAUCCGGUUAUCUCUUUUCCUUUAGUGCAAUUUUUCCUUAUUUGUUUGUUUUGUUUUUUUUUUUAAGUAAAUAGCUAGGCUUCUAAGCCCUACCACAGAGAGUCAACAGACAAACUGCCCAGGGAAAAGUUAUGACCUCAGGCAAAGUGAAUUUCUACAGCUAAGGCAGAUCCUGAAGAAGCUCACAAAUAAAGGCUGCAUACUCACACAUUCCCUGAAGCUUGACAGAUAGGGGUUUCCUGUCCCCUCUUCAUGUAGAAUUGCCAGCCACCAUACUGUGAGGGAGCUGAAGUAAGCCCACAUGAGGAAGAAUUGAGGUCCCAAGCCAACAGCUGCAGCUAAGAUCCAAGCUCUCAACCAGUACCAGUUCAUCCGUUAUGGAGAAAAUGUCAUGCCUGUGGGAUCUAGAAGACAUACUCCUUUGUUUUUAGUUCUGCUAGUACCCUAUGUGCCUUUACCAAAACCUUACUGAAUGGAUUUCUCAGGGAGACUAGCUUUCAGAAUUUUAGGCACACUAAGAUAUGGAAGCUAAAAGAGGACUAAGAGGAUUCUGGGGAUAUUACAAGAUAUUGCAGACUGUCUUGUUUUCCUGGAAAAGGAUUUUACCUCAGUCGACUGAAUUACUUUUUUCACUGUGUCUUGCCACUCUUCGUGCAUGCAUCAAAGACCCUAAUAUGACUUCUGGUGGCCUGGGACUCCUUGGGAAAACAGAAAAGGGGCCACAAAUCCCAUUUUGGGAACAAUCUGUUUUACUCAUGGAACCCCUGGAAUUAGAGGUACAACUGGAGAAACUGUUCUGUGGAGGCUUUGAGUGGAAGGGUGUGCUUCCCUUUAAGGAAUCAAGCUUGAAACCCUUUGAAGUCACUUGGAACUUUGUGCUCCGAUGAGGCCUGAAGGACAUGCAAAGUAAGAAACAUGGCCAUGCUUGCAAAUAAGGAAAAACUGAUCUAUGGCAGUUUUGCAGAAGAGAA
rnacentral:lncRNA from 1 species